GAUACUAGGUGUAGGAGGUAUCGACCCCUCCUGUGCCGGAGUUAACGCAAUAAGUAUCCCGCCUGGGAAGUACGAUCGCAAGAUUAAAACUCAAAGGAAUUGACGGGGGCCCGCACAAGCGGUGGAGUAUGUGGUUUAAUUCGACGCAACGCGAAGAACCUUACCAGGUCUUGACAUUGAUCGCGAUCUGCAGAAAUGCGGAGUUCUUCUUCGGAAGACGAGAAAACAGGUGGUGCAUGGCUGUCGUCAG
rnacentral:rRNA from 1 species